AUGAUCUAAAUAAGUGUACUUUUUAUCUUUUUAUGAAAAGAUAUAUAGAAAAGCAGGUGAUAGUGAUGGAAAAAAGAUAAAAAAAUGAAUUAUUUAAGGAUGCCAAACCACCCUUCUCACUCUCUUGCUCUUUCUCAAUUCUUCUUCAGAGCGAUUGCGAUUUCAAAGUUUCUCAGAGCCAACCUAUCUGCAUCUGUAUGGCUUCAAUCUCGUAGUUUCUCAAAGCGAUUGUGAUUUCGAAGUUCGAUUUUGAGCAUUGUCGUCUACAAUCUCAGAAAAACCAAUCGAAUCCUUCAAAAUCUGCUUCAGCUCCGUGAUUUAUCUCAGUGGUGGUGUUCUGUUUGUGAUUUAUCUCUGUGGAUUUGGAACUCUUCGUCUUCUUCGAUCAUAGAAACCCGGUGGCAUAAUAGCUCUUCUGGAUGAAGCUUGUAUGUUCCCAAGAUCAACACAUGAAACCUUUGCCCAAAAGCUGUACCAGACAUUCAAAACCAUAAAUGCUUCACUAAGCCAAAAUUAUCACAUUC